UAUAUCAACCGCGUUGUGCUAACGCUUUUGUUUUCGGUCUACAAGGAUACGUGAACAACACUCUCCCCUCUUGUUGCUAUGCAUCACCAUGAUCUUGCAUGUGCAUAGCAAAUUUUUGAAAUUACUACGUUCUCCAUCAUGUAGGAGUAACAAAACAAAGAAGAACAUCUAAAGAAAGGAAAUAAGCAGACACCUAUUUCUUCCGAGCAAAUGUACACGCUAUGACACAACAUGAUCAUGCUUAUCAAUUGAACAUCAGGAAGGAAGAAACUACCAUAUGCCAGUGCGGAGGUAAGGGCCAGCACACACGGCGAACGAGGCAUCGAUGACGACGGGAUUUUCAUCUAGCACGGUGGAAUUGAUCAGUGUGAUGACAUCAAAUCCAGAACUCCCAGCCCAUAUGUCUCUCCCCUCGACUGCAAUUGUCACAACAAUAAGUAUAUCAAUCAAUAUCUAUGGACACAGCUGCACGAGGGAACAACAGAAAAAACACAUCAAUCAGUAUGCUUGUACAGUACACACACCUUCGAUAACAUUAUAUUCUCCUUUCGAUAUUUGAUUUCUACCACAUAAUAAGCACCGUCAUCCAUCCUUCAAAGUCCUGGUUGUUAAUUCUGCAUCAUGUGUGUGGUAAUCUGGAUUCAGCAAACUCUGAAUCCUUUCCUGAUAAUCUCAGUGUUAUCAACUUGUCAUAGAAGAAGAAUUGUUUGGAAAAACCUACCAGAAAAAAGGUUGCCACGGGACAAAUCAAGAAACCUAUUGUCCCAGUUUUAAAUCAAGCAACAGUCAACUCACCUUAUUGAGUACACAACCAGAACCAUCAUCCGUUGCACAUAGAGGAGAAGGACAUCGUAGGCAAAAGGGAGUGUGUUGGCGGCAGACAACGAUGCCUUUGGUUUCUCAUCAGUCUCGUCUAGGCUUCGAUUGCAUAUAAGUAAGCGUUACACGGGGUGGGCCGCUGCUCCAGUAACAAAUUUGUCGAUUUGCCAUUCAUUUAGCCUGACUUAGCUUUUAAUGUGUUCCUAGCUCUCACCCUUAUUAUAUCUCUAACCGGCCACACGAUAACUUUUCUGCUAAAAUUGUUGCAGGUGAAUUUUGGCCUUCCCUUCAUCUUUCACUCUGUCAAGUAAAUCUGAACUUAUCCUAUAUCAAUUUAUGAAUGCAAUAGUAUUAAAUACUAAUGGCAAAUGGGAAAAGUUGUUGAUAUAACUUGUAACAUCUUAAUUUUGGAAGAGAAUGAUUAACCAACUGCAAUUGGAGUUACUUAAGUUCAGUGCUUACUAUACAGUAUGUACUAUCUAUCUAUGUCAGAACACUUCUAAGUUCUUGCAGGAAUGGGAAACUCUCAUUGUAGACUCACUGUUUGGGCAAUAAAGAUCACUUAUGGGUAUUACUAAUCUUAUUAUGCCAAAUGUCAAAUAUUACCAGGCAAACACAAGUGAUGGCCGCACUGUGAAGAGCACCUUAAAUACCAUCAGCAAAUAUGUAUGCGUCAUUGUAAGUAUAUCUUGUACUGUUCACUGCUUGCAGAUCAAAUUAACAGUAAGAAAGUGCAUAAUCUUCCCUUGUCAGAACCUGAAAUCAGAAAAAAGGUACAUACGGGUGAUUCUCACCUUGACGCUGAACAGGGCAAGCAACUGCUUGCAGCAGAAUUGGUGGAGGACCAGCCCUUGUUCAUCGCAACCAGCUUGACCGGGGGGUAGAAUGUGUCGACGGCCGUUUAAGGUCAUCCCUUCCAUAAGCUCUUCUUGCGAGAUUGGGAUGCUCCGACCGUCCGGCGGCCGGCGG
rnacentral:lncRNA from 1 species